UGUCGUCCUUUUGACCAAAUAUUUAUUUUCAGGACUACCGGCAAAAUUCGCCGUUCAAGAUUAGCCGCCGAAGACCAAAAAUUGCAUUCACACUUGGUAUCAUCCACAGAGAGAGAUGAGAGGCGAGUGGUUUUCGGGGAGUGUGAGACAUCGAGUGUUGGCGUUUCUCAUCCAAUCCGCUCAUCGACUUGAAGUUACUCCGAUUGUGAAAUACACUUCGUUAUCGCUCUUCGCUGACCGAUUCUACCCCUGUCUUCCCAGGUUAAUGCAGGUGAAGCACACAGGAAGUUGGCUAUUGCAACCCAUGAGAGAGAGUCAUUUGCAGCUGUUUGCCCUCAUUUCUAUAUGGAUCUCCAGCAAAAUACAUGAUUCUCGGCCUCUUUCCAUGAAAAGUUUGAAAUCCUUGGGAGAUGGUAUCAUCAAUGAGCAACAUUUUACAACUCGAGAUUUUUUGGAAGCAGAAGUGGUCUUAAUGCAGGUACUGAAUUUUGAGAUUGGAGCGUCAAAUAUUGCUUUUGUAUUCCUUGAAGAGCUUCUUAUUCAGUUCAAGGGAAUAGCAAAAGUUGGGGAACUAGUAAACUUUGAAGCCUGCCUGGAUAUCAUGGAUCUUCUCUAUGAAAAGGAGGAGACAUCAGUUCUUUUUAGCUCUCCUUGUUCACUUGCUGCAUCUAUCUUGGUUGCUUCUUAUGUCAUCACUGUCCCUCGACAGAAGUGGGAGUUUCCUGUUCUGCCCUGGGUGAAGUUUGCUACCUCAUGCAAUGAAGAGGAUAUUAUAGAAAUAGUUGGGGGCAUUCUCAAGCACAUAUUUGGGCCUUCACUUCACGUCUGAGGUAUGAGGUUUUCAUAUUUGGAGAGGCCAAAGUCAGUCUGGAUGUAUUCCAACUUCACUGGCAAGGAAUAAUGGAGGUUUUUAUCAGUUAAAGAAGUGCGAAGUAAUAUACAAGUCUUGCUGGAAGGAGAAAGAGUCAUUUAGUACAAAGAUAUGAUUUGGAGUGACACAGCGAUGGAGUUAAUCAGCAAGAUUACACUGUUUUUGGAGGCAGCCAGGGUCGUCUACAAAUAUCAAAUUCGCAGCAGAGUACAAUUCCAGAUGGACAAUCUGAGUGUGAUCUGGUACAACCACGGCGCACCAAUCUCCAUGCCCCCUCGCCCUGACCUUUUCCCAGUGCGGUUCGGGCGUCACUUCAGACUUGAGUUGCUGAGAAGGAUAAAGAAAGAUGGAGAGCCAAAAUAUAAACCCUAGAAAAUUUCGCUAAUGUGCGCAUUUCCUAGACUUGAGUUACUCUCACCUGCUACAUUGGCGUAUUUUAGCUUCACCCUCAAAAGUAGAAUAUCUCUUUCUCUCCACUCACUUGUCGGUUUCGUCGUGCUUCACUGUUUAUUAGCGAGCCUUAGAAAAAGAAAAUUGUGUUUGGUUCCCGAGAAACUUUACCCUAAUUUUCUCCUUCACCUUUCCUUCGUUCCGUUUUUCUCCGCUUUCUUUCUUUACGUAAUCCUCAAUUACGGUGUUUUUGAGCUCAGGGGCUUCAGAUCUGACCAAGCAUUGGUUGAGACAUCACUGUCCCUGUAGCCUCUUCUUAUUUCCCUCAUUUUUCUCCUUUGGCUUCGUGGUUUUUUUUUUCUUUGUUCUGUUCGUGAGAAGCUGUGGUCGGAAGUUUGGAACUUGGCCGGGGAUUUUUGGCUUGAUUUUCUUGGAGUUUUAGAGAUAGAGUGGACAGAGAUC